GACAACCCGAGAGAUCGGGCGUUCCCCCUUCGGGGGACAGGGUGACAGGUGGUGCAUGGUUGUCGUCAGCUCGUGUCGUGAGAUGUUGGGUUAAGUCCCGCAACGAGCGCAACCCUCGACCUUAGUUGCCAGCAUUCAGUUGGGCACUCUAAGGUGACUGCCGGCUAAAAGUCGGAGGAAGGUGGGGAUGACGUCAAAUCAUCAUGCCCCUUAUGACCUGGGCUACACACGUGCUACAAUGGGCGGUACAAAGGGUCGCGAACCCGCGAGGGGGAGCCAAUCCCAAAAAGCCGCUCUCAGUUCGGAUUGCAGGCUGCAACUCGCCUGCAUGAAGCCGGAAUCGCUAGUAAUCGCGGAUCAGCAUGCCGCGGUGAAUACGUUCCCGGGCCUU
rnacentral:rRNA from 1 species